AGUCGAGGGGCAGCAUGGUCUUAGCUUGCUAAGGCUGAUGGCGACCGGCGCACGGGUGAGUAACACGUAUCCAACCUGCCGUCUACUCUUGGCCAGCCUUCUGAAAGGAAGAUUAAUCCAGGAUGGCAUCAUGAGUUCACAUGUCCGCAUGAUUAAAGGUAUUUUCCGGUAGACGAUGGGGAUGCGUUCCAUUAGAUAGUAGGCGGGGUAACGGCCCACCUAGUCAACGAUGGAUAGGGGUUCUGAGAGGAAGGUCCCCCACAUUGGAACUGAGACACGGUCCAAACUCCUACGGGAGGCAGCAGUGAGGAAUAUUGGUCAAUGGGCGAUGGCCUGAACCAGCCAAGUAGCGUGAAGGAUGACUGCCCUAUGGGUUGUAAACUUCCUUUAUAAAGGAAUAAAGUCGGGUAUGCAUACCCGUUUGCAUGUACUUUAUGAAUAAGGAUCGGCUAACUCCGUGCCAGCAGCCGCGGUAAUACGGAGGAUCCGAGCGUUAUCCGGAUUUAUUGGGUUUAAAGGGAGCGUAGAUGGAUGUUUAAGUCAGUUGUGAAAGUUUGCGGCUCAACCGUAAAAUUGCAGUUGAUACUGGAUGUCUUGAGUGCAGUUGAGGCAGGCGGAAUUCGUGGUGUAGCGGUGAAAUGCUUAGAUAUCACGAAGAACUCCGAUUGCGAAGGCAGCCUGCUAAGCUGCAACUGA
rnacentral:rRNA from 1 species